rnacentral:rRNA from 1 species
GAUGAACGCUAGCUACAGGCUUAACACAUGCAAGUCGAGGGGAAACGAUAUUGGAAGCUUGCUUCCGAUAGGCGUCGACCGGCGCACGGGUGAGUAACGCGUAUCCAACCUGCCCAUCACUUGGGAAUAACCUUGCGAAAGUAAGACUAAUGCCCAAUGACAUUUAUAGAAGGCAUCCGAAAUGAAUUAAAGAUUUAUCGGUGAUGGAUGGGGAUGCGUCUGAUUAGCUUGUUGGCGGGGUAACGGCCCACCAAGGCGACGAUCAGUAGGGGUUCUGAGAGGAAGGUCCCCCACAUUGGAACUGAGACACGGUCCAAACUCCUACGGGAGGCAGCAGUGAGGAAUAUUGGUCAAUGGGCGAGAGCCUGAACCAGCCAAGUAGCGUGCAGGAAGACGGCCCUAUGGGUUGUAAACUGCUUUUAUAGGGGAAUAAAGUGAGCCACGUGUGGUUUUUUGCAUGUACCCUAUGAAUAAGGACCGGCUAAUUCCGUG